rnacentral:rRNA from 1 species
GAUGAACGCUGGCGGCGUGCUUAACACAUGCAAGUCGAGCGAAUGGAUUGAGAGCUUGCUCUUAUGAAGUUAGCGGCGGACGGGUGAGUAACACGUGGGUAACCUGCCCAUAAGACUGGGAUAACUCCGGGAAACCGGGGCUAAUACCGGAUAACAUUUUGAACCGCAUGGUUCGAAAUUGAAAGGCGGCUUCGGCUGUCACUUAUGGAUGGACCCGCGUCGCAUUAGCUAGUUGGUGAGGUAACGGCUCACCAAGGCAACGAUGCGUAGCCGACCUGAGAGGGUGAUCGGCCACACUGGGACUGAGACACGGCCCCGACUCCUACGGGAGGCAGCAGUAGGGAAUCUUCCGCAAUGGACGAAAGUCUGACGGAGCAACGCCGCGUGAGUGAUGAAGGCUUUCGGGUCGUAAAACUCUGUUGUUAGGGAAGAACAAGUGCUAGUUGAAUAAGCUGGCACCUUGACGGUACCUAACCAGAAAGCCACGGCUAACUACGUGCCAGCCGCCGCAGUAA